UCUGGAAAGGACGAAAAGUUGGUAUAUUUAUUGCGAGUGGUAGUGGCUCUUUUGCAACCGUAAAACGAAAUCACCUAUGAGAAAAUUGGUGUUAUUCAACUAUGGAGUUAAAGUCAAUUUUUUAAGCUUUAAAUUUGUUUUUUGAUAUUGCUUUUAAGAAUAUGUUUAUAUGAAUUUCAAAAUCUCUGCAAUAUGUCUUGGAUUUUGAUUCUAAUGAUUUACUCAUGAAACUCCAAAGAGGUUUCGUUUCAAAUCAAUUAAUAUAUAAAGAUUUUACAAGUCUUUUAGUUUUGAAUAACAUUGAAUUUUAAUGAAAUAUUUAAAAUCUUAAUUGAAUAACACCAAACUUUAAAAUCUAUUAAGCAUGAUUUACAAAUAUGAGUUUCAAUAACACUAGAUUUUAAAGCUGAAUGUAGAAUCAUUAGUUGAAUAACAGUGGAUUAGUGUUGGAUUUCAAUUCUAUUAAAAUCCAUUAACGAAUAACACCUCCUAAAUUUAUGUUCCAAAUCAAAUCAGUUGUCCAUAUAUAUAAUU
rnacentral:sRNA from 1 species